rnacentral:rRNA from 2 species
GACGAACCGUGCGAACGUUGUUCGGAAUCACUGGGCUUAAAGGGCGCGUAGGCGGGCUACCAAGUCUGUGGUGAAAUCCUCCGGCUCAACCGGAGAACGGCCGUGGAUACUGGGAGCCUCGAGGGAGAUAGGGGCAGGCGGAACUGAUGGUGGAGCGGUGAAAUGCGUUGAUAUCAUCAGGAACUCCGGUGGCGAAGGCGGCCUGCUGGAUCUCAUCUGACGCUGAUGCGCGAAAGCCAGGGGAGCAAACGGG